GAUGAACGCUAGCGGCAGGCUUAACACAUGCAAGUCGAGGGGUAGAAGGAGCUUGCUCCUUUGAGACCGGCGCACGGGUGCGUAACGCGUAUGCAAUCUACCUUUUGCAGAGGGAUAGCCCAGAGAAAUUUGGAUUAAUACCUCAUAGUAUGUGAGGAUGGCAUCAUUUUCACAUUAAAGUCACAACGGCAAAAGAUGAGCAUGCGUCCCAUUAGCUAGUUGGUAAGGUAACGGCUUACCAAGGCUACGAUGGGUAGGGGUCCUGAGAGGGAGAUCCCCCACACUGGUACUGAGACACGGACCAGACUCCUACGGGAGCAGCAGUGAGGAUAUUGGACAAUGGGCGCAAGCCUGAUCCAGCCAUGCCGCGUGCAGGAUGACGGUCC
rnacentral:rRNA from 1 species